UACAACUUCGAUCACUGUUCUUCUUUCAUCUUGCACAUCAGCAACAUCAACACCCAUUACAAUUGGUAAUGGCCGAUACCAACACACAUCCUAAUACUAUACCAUUGCAACCGGUGACCACUAACUACACUUAAUUAACCAUUACAGUCAUGCUAAGGGCAUAGCUACCUCUCUAGUGCUGGUGUCACAAAAAACACAACGAGCUCUUUAAUUUUUUUCUAGGACAGGACAUCUCUACAACGCUGGUGUCGAAAAAAAAAAAAAAAAAAAAAGAAUCGCAGUACAUUUUGAAAAGUAGUUAGUGACAGGUAGGGUUUUCAGCCAGAAAAACCAAGGUAAAAAUGAAAUGUGGACAAGAGGAGCCUACUCCCAGUAGGCUAAGAGGAGGAAAUUUUCACAAGCAGUAGAUGCACAGGAUCACUUCACACAAUCAUCAGACGAGGAAGUAAGAUUAAAGGAAGUAAACUUAUACUCGCGAGAAUAUUUAAAUGAGGUGAGAGGUAUAUAAAUAAAUGAGGUACUGAAUAAACGAAACCACAAAAAUAACUAAUUCCUAUAUGUCUGAUUUAUAUAGAAGUAACAUGUACGAAACACGUGCCAAUGAAAACUGGUUAAAAUAUAUACACACCCAUGUAUUGAGUUAUAUUUACCGUUUGUUCAACUAUAUAUAAUGGAAGAAAAUUGAUAUUUGUGACAUUUAUGCCUUAACUAUGAACCGAGAAUUGAAAUCAAGGUCUCAGAAAGAGACCUUGUCCUUAUGCCAUUCACAUACUAUACGCUGAUUUCUUUCACAGUAAAACCCAUAUAUUUGUGGAGGUGUGUGGGAUGGUGAAAUAUGUAUUUAUACUUUAGCAAAAGCACGAUUCAAACAUGCAGAAUAAACAUUUAUUUGCAUGCUUGCAAAACAAUAAAUAAUAAGUAGAAGUUAAACGUAUGUAAAUACACAAACACAAUAUAUACCUUCACUGAUUUCUUUCUUGAUAUUGUCUACAGAGGUUGCUAUGUCACCCAAAGCUCGCUGUGUAUGUUCCCGAAGUGCAGUGAAUUUUGAUAAAACUUUUUCUAAUUCCUUCUCCACCGUAAGACAAAUAUCCAUGUUCGGUUGAAUUGGAUAAAGAUGAAAGAACAGUCAUUUAAAAAUUACAGAAGGGAACAGAGUGAAGACGAAAUAAACUGUUGGAGUCUGGCAGAGGUUUAGACACAAAGGAAAUAAAUAAAUAACUAUUUAAAAAAAAAGAAUAGUAAUGAAUUAUUAUUAUUUACAUAUAUGUAGGCUCUUGUUUUAAAUAAAGUGGACGAAACUCUUAUAUUGAGUUGGAAGAUGUCUGCUUGUUGAUCGGUUAAUUUCUGACAAAACAAAA